AGCUCCUAACCCAACGUCAUGGUGGACUAACAGAAGUGAGCGGCCCCACUGAAGACGCGCCACCACCGUCAUCGUUUUGACCAAUGUAAACGCUCUGGAUGAUGUCUUUACUUGGCUUUCACUUUCACAGCUGGAGCUUUCGAGGCAGCAGCUGCUGGACGAGAGGAUCUCACUGCCUCGUACACACUGAGACACCUGAUGCAGAAACACCGUGUCACGUUUAAAAAGGCCCAACAAGGUGCUCAUUGUUUGAGGAAGCAUCAUGCAUCCUACCAUCAGUCCUUUUUGAGCACUGAGCUCCAAGCCGUAGAUGUUAUAACGUGACUGGGCCGGAGGAAAAGCGGACGUGACAACAGGCUGUCCUCACUCAGGUCCGGCUGGAAGUCGGGAGAAAUUCGGGAGAAUGGUUGUCCCGGGAGAUUUUCGGGAGAGGCACUGAAAUUCGGGAGGGUUGGCAAGCUAAGGGACCCCCAAACUGAUGGAGAGAUGGAGUGGGGACCCCCUACUUACAUAAACUGGUUCUCAAGUCAGACCUUGAGCGAGUCGAACACGUUGUCAAUAAAAAUAAGACGUUUGAGCUCUGUGAAGGCAAACGCAAUCAGCAGCACCAACUCUUCUACCAACAUUACUGUCUCCUUGUCUGUCAGAGAGCUGUCGUGGUCCAGAUAUCACGACCGAAUGAAAACACUCCCUCUUCUUUUGGAUCGCUUAUCUGUUGAAGAAAAAUCACAGCUCAGAAUGUAAGUCUGUCAGAACAACACAGGGCUGCGUGUUCGCGUUUAUUUCUAAAUGUGUUGGAACAUUAACCCGUUAUGGAGCACUCACUGAAUAUUUCAACACUGCUUGAAUCAUGAAAAUACUCUUACAAAAUGUGUAGCGUUUAUAUACAGUAUACAUUGAAUUAGAAAUAAGUAAAAACAAUAAAUAUAUUACAAAUUUUAGAAUAUUUUUUUGGGGUGAAAACACUGCUAUUCUACUGUCCUAUAGUGAGACACACAACAUGGUUCCUUGCUCAAUAAAGUGUUAGCACAGUUUAAUGUUGAUUUAAAUGAAGAGGUAUAUCUAAAGACUUCCAUUUUCGGAUAUACAUUUAUGGUGGAAAAUGGCUCAAUGACAGCUUCUACACUUUUUGACAUGUUCGGACCGAACUACAAACCACAAUUCCACACUAAAUAAGCAGUAAAAACACUCUGUAUAAUGUUCCAACCAGUCAAUCAAAUGACAUGAAACACAUGUUGCACCAAUGUGUGUGUGUGUGUGUGUUUGUAAUCGCACUUCCCUGCACACACACAAUAAAUCAUUUCCCAUUACCACAUGCACCUGACAGCGAGGCUGAUUGUCAGCCUGCGCUAAUUGUCACAACUUCAAACGGUCACCAUUUAUUUCCUUACGUUUGCUGGCCAUUACUGCCGAGGUGUCCUGCUUGUGUCCCUUGCUUUCCUUAUGGUUGGCUUUGCACCGCCACAGGCUUUUUUUGGCCAAACCGCUCUGUCAGCAAUAUACAGACUGCCUGGCCUAAUUUUAUCCCGUAUUGGAUGGCCUCACUUUGGAUUCACACACACACAUACACACACACACACACACACACACACACACACACACACACAAAUUGGCAACUUGAGACAUGAGUAUGUACUCAUCCCUCAGAUCUUAGACACUCCAGGACCCCGGGCCAGUUAGUGGCCUACUAUAGAACCCGACUGACAACAUUCAUCAGGCUUCAGCAAUAAUAACAACAACAAAUAUGAUCUCUUCUUCUUGCUGGAUAAUCUUCCUAAUUCAUCUUCAGUCUGUCAUAGAGCUUGAAUCUGAAAAAACUACAGCUCUUUUAACAUUUAU